AAGUCGUAACAAGGUCUCCGUAGGUGAACCUGCGGAAGGAUCAUUAACACAAUUUACUGUGACAAAUCCGUUGAAUUCUCGAAUUCAAUGGUAUCCACCCCAUUAUUGACGAACUUUUCUAGAUGUUAAAACUAAAAACGUAGAGCUAGUCUUUAUAUUUUUAACAUUCUAAAACUUUUCUAUACCCACACAUUUAAACCCCUUUUACAACAUGUCUUAGACUGAAACGAAAAUUUUCUAUCAAAAAAUUGAUAAAAACAACUUUUAACAACGGAUAUCUUGGCUCUC
rnacentral:misc_RNA from 1 species